rnacentral:piRNA from 1 species
UCCUCCCAGUGACCCUUUUGUUUUCCAAGC